rnacentral:lncRNA from 1 species
CAACAUGGUGCCUGAAGGCCCAGAAACUCAGUGAGAGACUAGGUCUCAUGUCAUGUGACUUCUACACAGAAAGGAAAAGGAAACAGCACAUUCUCUACUGACGUGUUUAAGCAGAGUCCAUACCUAAAAUUCCCGUCCUCUGAGUUCCUCUCCAGGGGAAACUCUGUCCUGGAGUCCCUCUGCAUUCCCCUUAAGGAGGGGCGGCAGGCUUGACCAACACUGGCCCAUCUCCAAGGUCAAGCUAAGAGGCUCCUCUCUGUGAGUUCAGCAGAACUCCUCCUGGUGGACCCAAGCACCCCUGCAUGGCUCCAGUGUCACAGGCUACGUUGUCUUCUGGCUUGGGUGACACAUGCCACAUGGGUCUUGUUAGUCCUUCUCUCACGAGGCUGGGGUUCUCAGAGGGUAGGACUGUGACUGAUGCACUUUCACAGCCCAACACCUGUCCCAAAGUCAGAAAUAGGGGACGUGGAUGAGAGGACCACUGAUGGCCACCAAGGCUGCCUUGCCCUGGAAUGCACCACCACAGGAGGCACCUCAACUUUAAAUAUUUCUUGCAUCCUGCAACAUAUGAUAUUGUUAAGGUCAUUUACGUUUUGUGUUACUUCUGU